GUCCUUUAGAUAAAAAUUAUUUAAGGUCUAACCUGCCCAUUGAUUAAUUAAAAGGCCGCAGUAAUUUGACUGUGCAAAGGUAGCAUAAUCAUUAGUUUUUUAAUUAAAAGCUUGUAUGAAUGGUUGGACGAGAUAAAAUCUGUCUCUUUAUAAAAAAUAGAAUUUAAUUUUUAAGUUAAAAAGCUUAAAUAAAUAUAAAAGACGAGAAGACCCUAUAGAUCUUUAUAUAAUUUUUUUUAAUAUUAAUAAAGAAGAUUUAAUUUAUUAAAUAAUUUUAUAUUUUAUUGGGGUAAUAAAAAGAUUAAUUUAAUUCUUUUUUAUUAAACAAUAAUUAUUGGUUAUAUGAUCCAUUAUUAAUGAUUAUAAGAUUAAGUUACCUUAGGGAUAACAGCGUAAUUUUUUUAGAGAGUUCUUAUCAAUAAAAAAGUUUGCGACCUCGAUGUUGGAUUAAAAGUAAUUCUAGGUGCAGAAGUUUAGAGUUUUGGUCUGUUCGACCAUUAAAUUUUU
rnacentral:rRNA from 1 species